UUUUAUUUAUUUUUUUUUUUUAUUUAUUUUUUUUUUUUAAGUGUCUUUCGGAACCUGGUGCUUCUGCGUAGUUAAACUUGAGUCAAAUUUAAUUUAAAAAAUUAAAUGAACUUUAGCUCGAUGAUGGAACUCGGUUUUUAUCAGAUAUUAUUCCACAGCGAGGCACAGGAGUCUGAGUAUUAAACAUAUUACAUUUAUACUAACGGAAUUUAUUAGCAGUGUUCUGAAUAUAUUUCAAUUAAUUGAGGGCUUCAGUGCAAGACUAUAGAAGUAAAGUUCACACAAUAAACAGGUGUAAAAUAUGGAUUUUAUGCAAAUGAGAUGCAAAUCUCUCUCUGCUUUCCUCAGUUUAUUUUUUGUCUUUGCUCUCUUCCAUGUUUUACUUUUCUUAAAAUUGUUAGCAGAAAUAUUAAUUUUCUUUGAUACUGUCUCUUAAACUGUCUUUUUCUUUUUUCCUUUCUCAUUUUCUUCUUCCUUUGUUCCUUUCUGUUUUAACUCAUUUAUUAUUCCUCCAUCACUAAGUGAUAUAUAUUAUAUUAUAUUUUCAGAUUGUCCACCUGUGCGUCCAGCCGAGGACGCUCUUUAGAUCAAUAACUUCAAAAUGAGUGGUUGAAUGUUCGUGGGAUUUACAUGCAAUUAUGAUUGUAACCAGCAGGUGAACUGAUGAGAUUUUGGUAUUGAUACAAACAGGAUCAAGGUCAAAUGCGUGAAGUAGUUUUCUUCAGUCACUUCUUAUCUGUUUGACUGUAUCUGAAUUCAGACACACAGACUAGACACAAGAAGGACUAGACUUGUUGGCAGUGGAGGCAUCCACAUUCUACUUGUUUCCCUUCAUCUCUUUCUCACUUCCUUUCAUUCUUUUUUUCUUUUUGUCUGUCCCUCCUUUUCUUUCUGCCUUUAUUACCUUUUUCCUUUCUCUUUCUUUUUUCUUUCUUUGUUCCUUUCAUUUUACUUCAUUUUCCAUUUUCCUCUCUCUCUCUCUCUCUCUCUCUCUCUCUCUCUCUCCCUCCCUUCACCUGGAUUAGCUCGUCAUUAGAAUUAAACUGAAUUGUAUAAUGCUCAGUGUAGACGUGUGCAUGUUUUAAAUCUGCAUCAUGUUUUUGUUUUUGAUGUAAAUGAUGUACAUAAAUGUGCUUUAUCUGCUUAAAUAUGAAAUGGUGGUACUUUAAAUGAACAGUUCUGUGGUUUUAUUAUUGUGAUGAUUAGCUUCCUGCAGAUGCUGAGGUUCAGUUGUGGAAGAAGCUGUAUGAUUCUGUAUGAUUUUUAUAUAAAGCAUUUUAUUCUCCUGGCCAUAA